UCAGAUCCUUGCAAUACAUUAACCUUAAAGUCUCAAUAUAAACUUCGACAUCAUCGCAAUCGGCAAUCUCCACCACAUACGGCACCGACGAACGCUGCUGCUUGGCCCACCGAUCCGAUAAUUUCACAGCGAAAAACCUGCUGUGAGCCACCAGGAUCUGUCUGUGGACGCUCAUUGACAAGCUAAUUCCAUCUUUGGAACUCAAUGUCAGCUUAACAUCACUAGUCGACGCAUCAUUGAACUGGUUACCAGGGCUCC
rnacentral:misc_RNA from 1 species